rnacentral:rRNA from 1 species
CACGGGAGGCAGCAGUGGGGAAUUUUGGACAAUGGGCGAAAGCCUGAUCCAGCCAUGCCGCGUGCAGGAUGAAGGCCUUCGGGUUGUAAACUGCUUUUGUACGGAACGAAAAGUCUCUUUCUAAUAAAGAGGGAUCAUGACGGUACCGUAAGAAUAAGCACCGGCUAACUACGUGCCAGCAGCCGCGGUAAUACGUAGGGUGCGAGCGUUAAUCGGAAUUACUGGGCGUAAAGCGUGCGCAGGCGGUUAUAUAAGACAGUUGUGAAAUCCCCGGGCUCAACCUGGGAACUGCAUCUGUGACUGUAUAGCUAGAGUACGGUAGAGGGGGAUGGAAUUCCGCGUGUAGCAGUGAAAUGCGUAGAUAUGCGGAGGAACACCGAUGGCGAAGGCAAUCCCCUGGACCUGUACUGACGCUCAUGCACGAAAGCGUGGGGAGCAAACAGGAUUAGAUACCCUGGUAGUCCACGCCCUAAACGAUGUCAACUGGUUGUUGGGAAUUCACUUUCUCAGUAACGAAGCUAACGCGUGAAGUUGACCGCCUGGGGAGGUACGGCCGCGAGUAGAACGUACGAAAGAAGUUAGACGGCGUGAGACGUGCCGACGGACGACGACGAGGGAGGAGG